AGGGAUGAGUCUGAAGUAUAAACUAUUAUAUUAAUUGAAAACGGUUUUUGUGGGUGAAUUUUUGCAUUGAUCUGAACAAAAACCAGA